GUUUACGGCCAUACCACCCUGAACACGCCCGAUCUCGUCUGAUCUCGGAAGCUAAGCAGGGUCGGGCCUGGUUAGUACUUGGAUGGGAGACCGCCUGGGAAUACCAGGUGCUGUAAGCC
rnacentral:rRNA from 1 species